AGAUGGCGGCCGGCGCACGGGUGAGUAACACGUAUCCAACCUGCCGAUAACUCGGGGAUAGCCUUUCGAAAGAAAGAUUAAUACCCGAUGGUAUAAUCAGACCGCAUGGUUUGAUUAUUAAAGAACUUCGGUUAUCAAUGGGGAUGCGUUCCAUUAGGCAGUUGGUGAGGUAACGGCUCACCAAACCUUCGAUGGAUAGGGGUUCUGAGAGGAAGGUCCCCCACAUUGGAACUGAGACACGGUCCAA
rnacentral:rRNA from 1 species